AUGCACGCUGGCGGCGUGCCUCAUACAUGCAAGUCGAGCGAACAGACGAGGAGCUUGCUCCUCUGACGUUAGCGGCGGCCGGGUGAGUAACACGUGGAUAACCUACCUAUAAGACUGGGAUAACUUCGGGAAACCGGAGCUAAUACCGGAUAAUAUAUUGAACCGCAUGGUUCAAUAGUGAAAGACGGUUUUGCUGUCACUUAUAGAUGGAUCCGCGCCGCAUUAGCUAGUUGGUAAGGUAACGGCUUACCAAGGCAACGAUGCGUAGCCGACCUGAGAGGGUGAUCGGCCACACUGGAACUGAGACACGGUCCAGACUCCUACGGGAGGCAGCAGUAGGGAAUCUUCCGCAAUGGGCGAAAGCCUGACGGAGCAACGCCGCGUGAGUGAUGAAGGUCUUCGGAUCGUAAAACUCUGUUAUUAGGGAAGAACAAAUGUGUAAGUAACUAUGCACGUCUUGACGGUACCUAAUCAGAAAGCCACGGCUAACUACGUG
rnacentral:rRNA from 1 species